rnacentral:tRNA from 1 species
GGCUAUGUAGCUUAAAUAGUGAAGCAUACGACUCAUAUUCGUAAGAGUAAAAGUGCAAGUCUUUUCAUAGCCACCA